rnacentral:rRNA from 1 species
AUACGUAGGGGGCGAGCGUUGUCCGGAAUGAUUGGGCGUAAAGGGCGCGUAGGCGGCGCGGCAAGUCUGGAGUGAAAGUCCUGCUUUCAAGGUGGGAAUUGCUUUGGAUACUGCCGCGCUUGAGUGCAGGAGAGGUUAUCGGAAUUCCCGGUGUAGCGGUGAAAUGCGUAGAGAUCGGGAGGAACACCAGUGGCGAAGGCGGGUAACUGGACUGCAACUGACGCUGAGGCGCGAAAGUGUGGGGAGCAAACAGGAUUAGAUACCCUGGUAGUCCACACUGUAAACGAUGAAUGCUAGGUGUAAGAGGUAUCGACCCCUUUUGUGCCGGAGUCAACACAAUAAGCAUUCCGCCUGGGGAGUACGGCCGCAAGGUUGAAACUCAAAGGAAUUGACGGGG